rnacentral:rRNA from 2 species
CUAUCAGCUUUGGAUGGUAGGAUAUGGGCCUACCAUGGCGUUAACGGGUAACGGGGAAUUAGGGCUUGAUUCCGGAGAGGGAGCCUGAGAAACGGCUACCACAUCCAAGGAAGGCAGCAGGCGCGUAAAUUACCCAAUCCUAAUUCAGGGAGGUAGUGACAAUAAAUAACAAUGCCGGGCUUUAUAAGUCUGGCAAUUGGAAUGAGAACAAUUUAAAUCCCUUAACGAGGAUCAAUUGGAGGGCAAGUCUGGUGCCAGCAGCCGCGGUAAUUCCAGCUCCAAUAGCGUAUAUUAAAGUUGUUGCAGUUAAAAAGCUCGUAGUUGGAUUUCUGAAUAAAAUAUUCGGUCCGUUUGUUUUUAAUAAAUGUGUACUAUUAAUAUUGAGUUCAUUUUUUGUGAGGAAAUUUAUCUGUCAUUAAGUUGAUGGAUUUAUAGACUUGCAUCUUUUACUGUGAAAAAAUUAGAGUGUUUAAAGCAGGCGUUUGCCCUUUUGAAUACAUUAGCAUGGAAUAAUAAAAUAUGGCUUUGGUGGUCUAUUUUGUUGGUUUGCACACCAGAGUAAUGAUUAAUAGGGACAGUUGGGGGUAUUCAUAUUUUAACGUCAGAGGUGAAAUUCUUAGAUCGUUGAAAGAUGAGCUUAGGCGAAAGCAUUUACCAUGGAUGUUUUCUUUAAUCAAGAACGAAAGUUAGGGG